GCCCCGGUAGCUCAGCGGACUAGAGCAUCUGACUUCGGAUCAGAGGGUCGGGGGUUCGAAUCCCUCCCGGGGUGCCA
rnacentral:tRNA from 2 species